UAUCAGCAGGGAAGAAAAUGACAAAACCUGACUAAGAAGCCCCGGCUAAUUACGUGCCAGCAGCCGCGGUAAUACGUAGGGGGCAAGCGUUAUCCGGAUUUACUGGGUGUAAAGGGAGCGUAGACGGCAGAGCAAGUCUGAAGUGAAAGCCCGCGGCCCAACUGCGGGACUGCUUUGGAAACUGCCCGGCUAGAGUGCUGGAGAGGUAAGCGGAAUUCCUAGUGUAGCGGUGAAAUGCGUAGAUAUUAGGAGGAACACCAGUGGCGAAGGCGGCUUACUGGACAGUAACUGACGUUGAGGCUCGAAAGCGUGGGGAGCAAACAGGAUUAGAUACCUGGUUAGUCCACGCCGUAAACGAUGAAUACUAGGUGUUGGUGGGCAAAGCCCAUCGGUGCCGCCGCAAACGCAGUAAGUAUUCCACCUGGGGAGUACGUUCGCAAGAAUGAAACUCAAAGGAAUUGACGGGGACCCGCACAAGCGGUGGAGCAUGUGGUUUAAUUCGAAGCAACGCGAAGAACCUUACCAGGUCUUGACAUCGGGGCGGCAGGCUCGUAACGGAGCCGUUCCUUCGGGACGCCCCAGACAGGUGGUGCAUGGUUGUCGUCAGCUCGUGUCGUGAGAUGUUGGGUUAAGUCCCGCAACGAGCGCAACCCUUAUCCUAAGUAGCCAGCAGGUAAAGCCGGGCACUCUUGGGAGACUGCCAGGGAUAACCUGGAGGAAGGUGGGGAUGACGUCAAAUCAUCAUGCCCCUUAUGAUCUGGGCUACACACGUGCUACAAUGGCGUAAACAAAGAGAGGCGAAAGGGCGACCUGGAGCAAACCUCAAAAAUAACGUCUCAGUUCGGACUGCAGGCUGCAACCCGCCUGCACGAAGCCGGAAUCGCUAGUAAUCGCG
rnacentral:rRNA from 1 species